AUACGUAUGGAGCAAGCGUUAUCCGGAUUUACUGGGUGUAAAGGGAGCGUAGACGGCAUAGCAAGUCUGAAGUGAAAUCCCAUGGCUUAACCAUGGAACUGCUUUGGAAACUGCCAGGCUAGAGUGCAGGAGAGGUAAGCGGAAUUCCUAGUGUAGCGGUGAAAUGCGUAGAUAUUAGGAGGAACACCAGUGGCGAAGGCGGAUAACAGGACUGCAACUGAAGCUGAGGCGCGAAAUUGGGGGGUGCAACCAGGAUGAGAUACCCGGGGAGUCCACACUGUAACCGAGGAUUGCUAGUUGUAGGAGGUAGCGACCCCGUCUGCGCCGGAGUAAAAGCAAUAAGCACUCCGGCUGGGGAGCACGGUCUCAAGGUUGAAGCUUACAGGAAUUGGUGGGG
rnacentral:rRNA from 1 species